rnacentral:lncRNA from 1 species
AUCACCCAAACCUCAAAAACAAAUGAUUUUACCUUCGGUGCGAGCGGUUCGGCCUCAGCUUGGCUCCCGAUGGUCUCCUCUUGGCCACCUAGCAGCUCCCUAACUUUCUUGAGGUUCGGAUGGUAAUUUCUCAAACCUACAAAUUGAUUAGUAAGCAAAAUAAAAGAAUCCAACGAAAUAAGAAGAGAAGAACGAAAAAAAUGACGAAACGUACCUUUGUUUGCAUUGGCCUCCGCCUUCGCACAUCGUCCCGGUCGUUUUCCUUCCUAUCUUCUUCCAUACAACAUCAAACGCCACCACUCACCGCCUUCGCAACUCUCUCUUUUCUCUUCUUCCCCUUGCGGCAGCCGUUCUCGGCUCUCUCUACCUUCUUCGCUCGGCCACACCUUUUU